UGCCAACCGGGUUUCUGCGUUAAGUUCGGCAUCAAAACGGUGACCUCCUGGGAGGAGAGGGGCCACCAGGUUGCCUAAGGAUGGGUGAACUGGCCCAGGUCAGAAAUGAAGCAGGUCAGAACUCCCCUGCCGGGCGGUAGUGGGACUCAGCUUGGGCA
rnacentral:sRNA from 1 species